GACGAACGCUGGCGGCGUGCUUAACACAUGCAAGUCGAGCGGUAAGGCCCUUUCGGGGUACGACGAGCGGCGAACGGGUGAGUAACACGUGGGUGACCUGCCUUUAGCUCUGGGAUAAGCCUGGGAAACCGGGUCUAAUACCGGAUAUGACUCCGCGGCGCAUGUUGUGGGGUGGAAAGCCUUGUGCGGCUGGAGAUGGGCCCGCGGCCUAUCAGCUUGUUGGUGGGGUGAUGGCCACCAAGGCGACGACGGGUAGCCGGCCUGAGAGGGCGACCGGCCACACUGGGACUGAGACACGGCCCAGACUCCUACGGGAGGCAGCAGUGGGGAAUCUUGCGCAAUGGGCGAAAGCCUGACGCAGCGACGCCGCGUGAGGGAUGACGGCCU
rnacentral:rRNA from 1 species